CAUAAUAAUAACAAUGUUAUAUUCGGUUACUGGUUAGUGUUUUCCGAUAUUCGCUGGGCGACCGACGCGAGUUUCCAUCGAUCCGUACAGUGCAGCACCGCAACGCGAUAUUGCAGAAUUCACGCCGACCGUAACUGCAGGGUUCGUCCGUAGCGCGUGUAUUAAUCGAAAAUGACCAACAAAUACGUGAGCGUAAGGAUUUUUUUUUUUGUUUAUAAUAUUAUUGUUCAUUACUAUGAGCUAUGUUUUAAAUCCACGAUCAAUUAAUAUACUAUUUAAUAGAAAAAUCUUCGUCAGACUCUUGUUAUAACCGUUCUUCAUAAAAAUAUUCGAUAGAUUACCGUUAUAAACUAUAGAUUUGUAUUGAAAAUGUCCCUUAACAAUAUUUUAUAAGACGACCUCCCGGCCCCUCAUGCUGAUAAUUCUUUUAAAUUUGCGCAAUUCAAAAAGUUGUCCAAGUGAACGGAAAAAUUCGGUACCUAGUCUGAAUUAUUUUUUCAAAAAAAAAAAAAUGUGUAAUUUUAAACACAUACAUGAGUACGUCAAAUAUGUAUUUGUACAAACAUUUAACUGUGCGAACUGGAUUUUACAUAUAAUGUCUAGUUUAGGUUAGGUUGGUUGAUUAGGGCUUACUUUAACGUGAGUUUGGAUCCGUUUUUAGAUAGCUCUAAAUGAAAAUUACGGAGUUGUAGUUGUAAUAUGUACAUUUGAAUCAUAAACAGUUUAAUAUCCUAUAUAAUAGUUUCUGAUUAAUAUACAUGGUAAAUAUGAAAUGUAUACGAAACAGUGAUAAUAUAAUAUGUAUAAAAUAUAGAGUAAAGAGUUUAAUAACAAAAACAGGAAACUUUCGAAAUAGAACAUGGUUGGCCUUUUUUUCAAGAAUAACCGACGAUGCACAAUAGGUAUACACAAUUUGUGUACACCACCCUUGAUACGUCAAUUAGGCGCGGUUCUAGAAAAAUCGUUAAAAUAAAAACUGUUUCAUGCUUGGUAUUCGUCAAAUACGCUGAAAACCGGCGAUUGGACGACAUUAAAAUCAUUUUGUUUGGAACAACGUUUUUAUUUUGCAAACUUUUCGAAUUAUAUAUUCGGAUCGUUACUAUUAUUGCGACUUUCCACAAAUGUCGAUGUUUUAUUCGUAUACUCGUAUUUUUGGAAUACUCCGACAGUUGAAUUUCAUGGCUCUCGUAAUUGAAUUCAACCACGACUGCUGCUUUACUUACCACGAGUUCCCGUCAUCGGGAAAAUACAAUUUAAAACUUUCACCGAUUGCAGCGCGAAUAACUUUUGCAAACAAUAUUAUACUUUAGGGAGUAAUUAUUUGUUUAAUCUAAUAGGGAAACUAAAGUUGUUCAACUAUAGGUUUAAUGCGUAUAAUAUAUAGUGUAUACGUAAAUCGGAGUAGGUACGAUAUAUAUACGAUAUAUAGGUAACAUAUUAUUGGGUACUGGAAAAAUGAAACAAUUUUUUUUAUUUAUUUUUUCUUUUAUAUCCCGUUGUACGAUACGUACAUAAUUUUAUAUGUAUUUAUGUAUUUAAGUACUUAAAUGGCAUACCUAUUUGUAUGGAUAUAUUUUUAUCGUUACUAAUAAUUAAUUAGUAUGAUGGUUUUUUCGUUUUAAGAAGUUCAUUAAAAUUUAAAAUUGAAUAGCAUAAUUAUUUUAAAACAAAUCAAGAAAAAUGCCUUCACUGUUUAAUUAAUGAUUAUACCCCGUAGACCUGUAAAUAAAUUGACUGAUGGCUCGGGCACAGAGAAAAAAGAGAGAGAGAGAGAGAGAGAGAGAGAGGAGAGAGAGAGAGAAAUAGAGUGAAGUCUGGGGGAGCAACAUUUUUAGAAAAUGAUAACAUACAAGUACAACUCUGCAUUUCUCCUUUAAAUUAUGAAGGUAAGAGAGAAAGAGAAGUUUAACAGCAAAUAUAACUACAUUGUCAGAUAAAGAUGACAUACAGUUUGGUAAAAUUCUCGGGGAUUGAUUAUUGACUAAGUAUCAUUACAAGUAUCACUAAAAAUGGUUGUACAGAGCAAAGAACUAGAGACACACAAUCCAUAUACAUUAUGCAUGGUGUAUCUGCAAGGUUCGACGGUAUCCUAUGCAAUAUCACAUAAAUAUACGUAACGUUCUGAACUGUAUCAUUUGUAAAACAAAAAAAAAAAAUUGCAGUAAACAAUAAAAUAUCCACAGGACGGUCGACUGUAAUAUACGAACAAGUAGAAGACAAGUACGCGAUACUACGCAAUUUACUUUUUUCUGCCGUAAAAUCCGUCCAUGCGCUUUUUCGUUGUACGGACGUUUUUCAAAAGAAUAUGGUGGAAAAUUUUUACAAAAUUAUAUUAUAAUAUUGCUGUGCAUAAUAAAAAGUUUUUGAAUUCUUUGACAUUUUUCAUUCUCGCAAUGUUAUUACUAUUGUGCAACUGUGCAAGUAUAUCGCAUAAAACAGUAAAUAUAUAAUAUAUUCAGUGUAAUAAUAACAUGACAGAGAUUUCUGUAUUUUUUUUUUUAUACGAAAUUGAAAUGUAUAUUUUUUUUUCUAUUUUUAUCAUACAAUUUAACUCUCAAUAUCUCUCUGAAUAUCAACGCUGAAUUAUUAUUUUUAUGGGAUACAGUAGUGAAUCCAAAAGUCACCUAAAAGCGGGAAGGUGAAUUCGUGUACACUCGGGACCAUGCACACACACGCACAAGCACAUGGACAUGAUCGGCGGAUAAUAUAAAACGGCGUAAAAUUUAGAAGGGUUUUGUACAACAUAUCGAGGAUUAUAUUCGUUUAAUAUAUUGAAUAAGGUAUUCUAGGUGUUCGUAUAUCCAAAACCAUACUUCAAAUGGUUAUAACUCCUCUAGUAAUGAUUUUCAAAAAAAAAUUACAAAUAUUUUCAUAGUCAGUAUCAAAAACCAGCAUCAAAAAUUUUGAAAUUCACAAGGAAGUACUAAAUAGGAUUUGCUCCUUGAUUUUUUUAAUUUUAUUUUUUUAAUGUCUAUGGACAUCUUUUUUUACGUUUCAUAUUAAUUGUAAGGGGGACGAUCUCGGUGCACAAAUAAUUAGACAAAGAGCUACGAUUAUGGCAUGUUAUAUUUGUAGAAGCCGAUAAACGAAUUACUAUAGAUGACAAAACCUAUUUAAGUUUGUGAUAAGCAGACAAAAAAAAAAAUAACGAUAACAAUAACGUAUGUGGCGCUUAUUUCAAUGUUAUGUAUGGACCACAGUUAUCUACUCUAAGUAGAUAACCGUGAUUUAACCGUUUUAUUACACUAUGUAUAAGGACGAUGAUUUUUUAAUAUUAUAUAAAUAAAAAUAUUGGUCCAAUAUAAAUAUAAAUGGCAAUAAAACAUCGAUACUUUUGAAACAAAACAUUCGAUAGUAAGCUAAAAUAAUCGAUGUUUAAUAUCGAAGGUUUAGUUUGAAUAUUUUUAAACGAUGUUAAAGCUUUACCAAUGUUUUAAUUUCAUUGUAAUUUUUAUGUUACUUGUCUUCAAUGAUCACGAGAACAAUUCUUACAUACAAUCGGACGAAUUAUGAUUUCUGUAGGCUGAAUGGCUAUAGUUUAUAUUUGGGGUUUGAUUGUUGUGUAAUAGACACUGAACGUCUCUUUAAUGUACUCAUGGCAAAGGGCUAUUCAAUUAUUGCCUAUGUAUUUCAAAUUGACGAUGUUUUCUAAAAUCAUCGAUGUUUUCCCAAAUAUAUUGAUAUUUUUGACAUCAAAUGUUUAUUUAAACUUCCAACAUUCUCGAUAUCGGUGGUUUAAAAGAGACACAUCGAUGAUUACAAAAAUUGUCCAUCUCUAAAUAUAAUAAUACAAGAAUUACGGAAAAAAACAAGACCUAAAAAGAGGGAGGGUUCAUAUUCAUCAUAACCUAUAAUGACGAUCAGUGACAUGACAUGACUGCUUGUUCAUUAAUCUCAUAUAUUUAAAUUUACCUGACUCCUGCGUAUUACACACAAUAUGUACUACACAUCUUUUUUUCUUGUUAAAUAGAAAUCUCAACUUUGAAUAAAAUAACUCAUAGUAUUCGGACCAAUAAACAUCAUUUCGAUGACAGGUAUUAAAUUUUAUUCUAAAUCCAAAAUCGAAAAAAUUAUAUGAUGGCAUUUCAAAUCAAAAUAUAAACUAGAUAAUCCGUACACUUGUUUCAACUAGUAAAAAGUAAAAAUCCAUUUUUAAAUUCCAAAUGCAGCAAAAUAUUUAGGCAUUAGUUUUAUUAUAUGAUUUUUUUUUCUCCAUAUACUACUUUUUUUUUACCAGGAAUCUGAUUUUGAAAUGUUAGGAUUUUUGUUUUGAUAGAAAUUGUUUUCUAGUUAAUAUAUCGAGGACGACAUUUCUUCUUGUUUUAACAGUUAAGAAAAACCAAUAUAUGAAAAAUUAUGGCGUUAACGAUUAUUUUCGAUGUACUGUUUUUGUUGUAAUUCGGUUAAAAAUAAUUGUAAAAAUCUAAAAUUUAAAAAAAAAAAAUGUAUAUUGGCGUUUUUAGAAUUUGUAAAAUUUCAAAAACCUCCUCGUGAAUUUUGAUCUAUUUAUAGGCAUUUUAAAUUAUUGAGUUUUUAUUAGUUUUAUGUGGAUAAAACUAUUUGGCCGAUCAGUAUAAUGAAAAAUAAUUCAACCUUGUACUUGUGGUAAAAAAAAAAAAACAUUGAAUAUUUUAUUGUAGUCUUUAUUUUUGAGUUUUGUCAAUGUGUUGACUGUUAGUUUAAUAAAUUGACUAAAAAAAAUUUCGAAAAAAGUUAAUACUUUCCAAGAUAAUAAGUAUCUUAGAGGAGAUACUAGAAGGAUCUUAGGGUGUUUUUUUUCAGUUAUUAUAUUAUACGAUAGUAUAAAUAUACUCUACGAUGUUUUUAGAAGAAUUCUCUCCUUAAAAAUCAAUACUUUUUCACUAUUUGCGUGCUUUCAGUGUUUAUAAACAACUCAUAAAAUAAACAGUUCAAGAUUUAAUUAAUCCUGCAUAUAGCUAAUAUGACUUUCUAACCCGAUCGCGUGUUUAUCUGGUAAGUUUAUAGGUACGACUUUUUGUAAUCUCGAAUCUCAAUAGCCUUAGUUCUAUACUUACUUAAUCUAUUAGAUAAGUUUCCACAUGAACACAUGUCCCAUGGUGUUAACGAAGUAAAUAACCGUGAAACGAAGACCGUAACAAAUGUCAAGUGUUUUCUGGAUACACAAAAAUAUACAUAGUCAAUUGUUUAAAACAUACAAAAUGUAAUAAAAUACGUUAAAAAAAAAAUAAAAAUAGUAUUUAAUAAUAUAAUUGGGUGAACUUAACCGUUUCGAAUAUUUGUACAUUUUAUGUGACAUUUCUAUCAAACCAAAUUAUUAUUACUAAUUGUCCCUUCGAGGAACAAUUUUUUUCGGUGUUGACAUAUAUAAAAACAAAUCAAAAUUUAAUUUAAUGUUCUGUAUAUGUAGUAUUCGCAAUUCGCUUACAUUUUAAAUUAUACACUCGGUGCUUCGAUUUUUUAUUUUUUUAUUACUGUUCUAUUUGUCAGGUGCAUAAUUAUAAUGAAAAAUAAUCGUCGACGCAUUUAUGGUGCAGGCAAAUAUUCUACUACAAAGGAAAAACUUCAAAUAAAUACGUUACAUUAAUUAUGUACAUUUUUUUUCAUUUUUGAAGUUUGUACACUUUUUUACAGGUAAAGCGUUUAGUUUUAUAAUGUUAUUUUUCUGGAAUAACGGUGUUCCCGCGAACGAAUAAUAUAUAAAUUCGAAAAGUUUUACAUAGCACUUUUAUGGAGUACGACUUCAUAGAAAUAGAAGUUUUAUUUUUCGUUUCUAUAAAUAUAUCGUAUAAUAUAAAAAAAAUUUCCGGUGUUUUGCAGUACAGUGAUAAUAUAAAAACUGCAAAAACCUAAAAAAAAAAAAAAAUGCACACAUUAAACAAAUAUAUUAUAUAUUUAUAUAGUAAGAACAUGGGCAGUAUAUAUAGUAUAGUUUUUUAAAUUAUAAUCAAGUGAAAACAUAUUUUUUUGUAUUUAUGUUUGUAUCAUUGUGAUAGUAAUUAUAAUUACAAAUAAAAAAAAAAAAAAAAAACAUUUCACCGCCGUUUAGUGGACAAUAUAAUAAUAGUUGAUGAGCGAAGCCAAAAUAAUGAAGUCCAAUAUAUUAUUGUUAAAUAAUAUUAAACUAGGUUUCACUUUCAAAUUUGUUUCAUUUUCGUACAAUUUUUCGAUGAAAAACCAUUCAAUUUUAUGUCGUUUAUAUAAACGUGCAAAUAAUACAUUUUGAUCAAUUUUCCAUCGUUUGCGUCCGUGAAACAAACGUGUUAUAUCUCACGUGCAGUAAAUUUCGUCGUUUAUAUAUAGGUUAUGGUUUCAACGGUAUGUCGAAUAUAAAGAUGUCGUUCUGAAAUUAAAAUUAUUUUUUUUUUUUUUACAUUCGCCUAUUAUAACAUUAUUGUGCAUAAAUAUUAUAUAUUUACAAACAACAAAUUGGAUUUCAUCAAGUUUCGCGAUAAUUCACUAAUCUACUUUGUCUGUAACAGAUAAAAUGUCGUAUGCAAUAUGCAUAGUAUGUGUUGUCGUGUUGUGUAGGUACCACGAUCAGAUGCGUACUUUUGUUUCGGUAAAUAGCGAUAUCAAUACGCCAGCCGUAUUGAUGGCAUUAAAAAUUGUUUGCGAAUUCGGAUUAAAUAAACGUAUUUUUCCAUUCAAUAUAAACAAAGUACUACAACAGAUUAUUUUUCAAAGCAACAAUAAACAUUAUUAAUUUAAUACAAAAUACAUUAUGUUGUUAUAAUAUGUUUGCACUAUGCAGUCAAUACUACUGUUGAAUUAUAAAACAUUUGUUUAAUAAAUUAAUCGAAAAAGUUAAGUUUUUUGUGACCCGGAUGUAAUGAAGUUCGGAUGUAACGAUCUUAAACUCUAAGUCUCUCGAAAAUCGUUGUAAGCGAAUUCCAAUAUACAUACCAGGUGAUUCAUUUAAGUGGGUGGACUCAUUAUCUCUGUAAGUAAUAACUUUUUACGGAAUUUGUUUUCGAGAACAUUUAUGAAACAAGCCGCUCUACAAUUUUAUAUUUAUAUUUUUUUUUCGCCCUUAUUUCGGAGUGGGCAAAAUCACCUUUUAAGAGAAACAAAUUCAUAAAUAAUAAUCAUAAAUAAAUAAUAACCAUAAACCCGGUAACCUACUACAUUUUUUUUUGUAUAGCAACACCUGUUUUAACAUCAAAUUCGUAUAGUCCCGCUUUUUUUUUUCAAGCAAUUUUGAUCUUUACAAUUUUUUUAUUUAAUCCCAGAAAUUAUGUGACUUACAACCAUCAAAAUUUGAUCAAAAAAUAUAAUUUCUUGUCGAUAUUUUUGAAAAUGUUAACGUAUAGUGUUACAAUAUAUGUUACUUUUUUUUUCUCAUAAAACACUAGUAAAAUUUUUUUGCUUUAAAAGUAAUGUGUUUUAAAUGUUUGAAAAAUAAUCGUAUUUUUUAACAAACUUUAGAUGACUGUAUCUCAGAUAAUUUUUAAAACACAAAAAAACUAUGAAGAUCAAAAGUACAUAAAAAAAAUAGAACUUUAUGAAUUUGGUGUUAAAAAUACACUAUUAAAUUUGUAUCGCACAUUUGUACAUGUCCGUACCAAAAGGGCUAAAAAUUUGAAAAUUAUCUUAAAAUGUUUGUUUCAGUACCCCUGUUACCUAUCUUCCGAAAAUAAGAUUCAAUAUUUAGUGUUAUUACAGAAAACGUGAACACACUGGAUGCAAUCGGGUAUUGCAGAGAUACUACAGCGGGCCCAUCUUAAAUUAUAAUAAAAAACUAUGUUUUUUUAUGGCGUAACGCGACACGCAUAGAGCAUAAAAUAUUCGUUGGUUUUUUUUCUCUAGUAAACGAACAUAAUAUAACUUCCUACCUACUGCGUAAAAAGGAAAAAUAAUAAAUAAAUGAUAGUAGUGCGAAUUUCGAAAAAUAAAAAAAAAAAAAACAAACUGAUAAAUAGAUACAAGUAAUAGAAAUUAUUGAUUCGCGAUGUGUCGUUAAAAUAUUAUGUACACAAGGAACAUCAUAUCGUGCAGCCGUUGUGAAACGGAUUACAUUUUAUUUCGGUAUACGCGUAAUAUUUAUGUUCGUUAUAUUUAUUAUGUACGUAUGUAUAAUAAAUAAUAUCAAAUGCGAAAGAAAAAAUACGAGGUUAUCUAACGCGUUAAACUGCGGAUUUCGCCCAUUUCGAAUUGAUUUCCCAUGCGUGUAUACGGCUAAAUAUUAUUCGUUUUAUUGCAGUUGUAAAGUGGCUAUGAUAAUGAUACCAUAAUAUUAUUAUGGAUUGAACGACAUUAACUACCGCCGGUUUUCUAUUGAUACACAUUACACAUAUUAUAAUAAUGUAUAGAUGUUUGAAAACAAAAAACAUUUCACAAUUCGCAACGUUUAUGUGCAGGCAACGGAAUUAAUUGUGACUACAUACAUUUUUUUUUUUGUACCUAUUAUAUUUGUUAGAUAUCGAAAUGUGUUUGAGUAAAUUUUACAUAUUCUUAAAUGUUUAGGAAAUUAUCGAUUUUUCACCGUAGCGUGUUUUUUAAUUUAUACGAAUGCGGUGUUACUGAUGUACGUUUCAGAUUCCGAGCGUGGCGACCGGAGCUAUUGGUUUUACCGUAGAUGUUUAUUUCUUUUCUUUUUUUUCUAGUCUGCGGACACGUUUUUUCCUAGUAAACAUGCUCCGAUUUUUACGUGCGAAAACUUUUCCGAAAGGUCAAGUUGUCUAGAUUGUACAUUGGGAUAUCAUUUUUUUAAAUAAAAGCACUCAAAUGGAAAAAAAAAAAAAACGUACAAUUUCGGGUCAUUUUUUGAUUUUUGAAUAAUUCGAUCAUUCGACAUAUUUAUAUAUUCUAUAUUAUACACUUAUUGGUAUUCGGUGAUGUUAUGUGUUAUAGACCACGGCGGUACACACAAUAAUCUACGUGACUGACGCGCGUGUACGACGAUUCGGAAUGCAAAACGUCCGCGUGAAUGACAACAAUGAUCGUAACAAAAAUAUAUAUUUAAUGUUUCGUAAUCCAAAUGGAAGUAAAAUAUAUAAAUAAUAUUAUUCCGGGCAUUGUGGCCGGUUAAGUAGGUAAUGUUACAGAGGAAUAGUGCCGAAUAUGUAACAAUAAUAAUCCGCGGUUGUCCGUCGUACGAACAAUACAGAUAAUAUUCGAAAUUCAGUAUAAUCGUCGUCGUCAAUGUAAAAAACGCCUAAUAAUAGUCUCGCCGUUAUAAUAAUCUUGUUAAUUGUGAAAAUAGAAACUCCGCUAGAUACCCAUAUGCCUUUUUUUUUUUUUUUUAUAUUCAGAACGUAUAGCGAGGGAUCUAUCGGUUUUAGGGCGCGUGCCUUUUUUUCUGUCCGACAGCAAACAACUUUUCGAAAAGUAAUCUAACCCCGAUGUAUAAACUGUUCUACUUUUUAUGAAAGGAAAUUUUAUUCAGUUGGUGCAUUGGAGAGGUCUUUUUUUGAUUUUCUGAGUGGUUUUCGAAAAGAUUGGGGAAAAUAUUUACGGCACGUUCCGGCGUUAUUAAUUUCAUUGUUUUUAAUAUUUCUGACUUAAGUUUUCCAUCGAAAUUAUUUCUCCUAUCGAAAAAUAACAUGCGAUCGAUUUUGUUCCUUUUAACAUGUAACCUUUGUCGAAAAAAUUCGUUUUUUGAUAUCUAAAGUAUUUUUUUAAAUAAUUGAGAAAAUCCAAAUUUCAACGAUUGCAUUAUUUUAUUUUAAAUUUAUACGGUUUAUGUUUUUUACUAAAAAUAAUAUUGCUCCAAUAGAAAAAUGACCUUUUUUUCUUGCGUUUUUAAUUUAAUUAGUGAGAAAAAAGUCUGUUUUCUAUCUUCUUUGUAGUUUUUUAAUAAGUACGUAGAAAGUAAUGGCCAAUUUACAAAAAUAAUUCUAUUAUUAUUUUAAGUUUUGUUUUUUUAAAUAUAAUACAGUUAAAAAAAUUCUUUACAGACAUUUUUACAGAAAACUUAUACUUAUUUUUCUAAGCAUAAUAAAAUUUCAACUAUUGCCCUAUAUUAGUGGCCACGCUCGUCCAAAUAUCAGCAAUUUUAGAUUCGGAGCGUAACGAAGAAGCUAUUGAUUUUACUUAGAUGUUUAUUUUUUCUUUUUUUUUUCUUUAUUCUAAUCUAUGGACACGUUUUUUCUUAGUAAACUUACUCCGAUUUUUACGUGUAGUACUUUUUCUAUAACCUCAAAUUAUUUUGAUUGUACUUUAUAAAGGUCAUUUUUUUGGUUUUCGAUGCCAUUUUUUAAAUAAAAGCACAUAAGGGGAAGAAAACGUAGGAAAACAUACCAUUUUCACGAUUUCAUUAUUUUAUAAAAACACGGAAGAUGUUUUAUACCAGAAAAAAUUAUUUGAUUGAAAAAUCACAAGAUACCUUUUUUAUUGAAUUUUUGAUUUAAUUUCUUACGCCAUCACUUUCAUCGCCAAAACUUUUGAGCCACUUUUGAGCUUUUACGGAAUUUUAAUUUUCGUGUUUUUUCUUUGCUGUAAUUCAGUUAUAAAUACACGUAGAGACUUAAAACUUAGUAAUAAUACUUAUAUUUGACUUACCUAGAUGUGGUAAAAUUUCCAAAAUCAUCAGACGACUUUUUAUAAUUUUUUUACAGUGGUACUAUAUUUUUUUUUUUUAUACACUGUAGACCACGUUUAUUCUAGAAAACUUGCUCCGAUGUAUAAGUGUAGCACAUUUUUUGAAAUUCAAUUUUAUCUACUUGGUAAAUACAUAGAUCAUUUUACGAUUUUUCGAACGUUCUUUAAAAUAAAAUUGAUUAACCGAGAAAAAAAAUACGAUUUUUUCAGAGUUAGAAGAACACAACAUUGUCAUCCGCCAAUGUGCUUGGACUAAUCCGGGAUUAUUAUUAAUUUGAAAUUCUAGCAAUAUAUCGACAAAUCAUUGUCGAUUAACUAUAUAAUUCACUAAGCAUUUUGGUCUGAUAAAAGAUUAUGCGUAUAAUUAUUUUCGUAAAUAAUUGUGUCAUUAGCUGUAUCUAUACUUGCUCCGACAAUAUCGUUUAUUAAUUAUUAUAAUGUAUACAUUUCUAAACGUGCUUGUCCUUAACUAGUUUGUCAGUUGUAUACACAUAUCCAUUCUACACCGACUGUUUAUUGUCCUUUUGACACCAUAGAAAUCGGAGUGACGUGGUAGUAAAAGUCUGUCAGCUUCAAUUCUUUCGUUCAGUUGUACCUGUUUAAUUAAUUAAUAAAUUGUUGAUGAAGAAGUGAACUCCUCUCUGUUUGUGCGCUGGUAUAUAUUAUAUACUUUCGACUGGUACACCGGCUGUCUUUCAUUGGUUUUAUCAACCCACCUAAAAAAAAAAAAUCAGCAAAUCCUAAAUGAAUUUUAAAUUAAUCAAUAUAUUGCUGGAUAAUCCCCAUCACAAGGGUGAAGAUACUAUCCGGACACAGCAUUGUGGAUUACAGAGAUUGUUGAAGAUUUUGAAAGUUGUGACACCAAUGGUUAUUUACAUGGAACCGCUCGCAAUAUCCAAUUUCAAACUACUUAGUGAAUUAUUUAGUUUAUAGGCAAUGUUCUGUCUCGAUAUUGCUCGAAUUUCAAAUUAAUAUAUUACUGGUUUAGUCCACAAGGACGGACGGACGACUAUGUUGUGUUCUUCUAACUCUGAAAAAUGACCUUCUCAGGGUAAUCAAACGAUUAAAAAUAUAUCAUCGGCGUAUUUACCGUAGACAUAAAUACCCAUUAGCGUCUUUACCAUCGGCAAGGCUUGGACAUGAAAGCAUACUAUUUACGCACUAACCUAAUUGUAAAGGUUACAUUAUUUUGAUUUUUUUCUUUUGUUUUAUAUUAUUUCAAUAAGGAUAAACGCAUAAUUUUAGAUUUAAAUUUUAAGCUAAGCGAGGAAUGUAUUGGUUUUACAAUGAUGUUUUUUUUUUUUUUAUACUGUAUACACAAAUUCUACCGGAACUCUUGCUCCGAUGUAUCAUGCUCAUGCGUCUUUUCUAUAAGGGAAUUUUAUCUAGUUGGUACUUUAAGGCAGUCAUUUUUUAAUUGUCUAAACAGUUUUCAUAAUAGGUAAUUGGGAGAAGUCCUGAAAAACCGGAAAAGAGAAAAAUGUAUGAAAAUAAUGCUUUUAUUAUUUUCAAUUUUGUUUUUUUGUUGUAAUUCAGUGAAAAAUAUCUGUAGAAACUUGAAAUUUUGAUAGAAACUUUAUAUUUGCCUUUUAUAGACGUGAUCAAAUUUUCAAAAUAUUUGAGCCUUUUUAAGCUAUUAGAAAUUUUAAUUUUGGGAGGUUUUUUAUACGUGAUAUUUAUUCGGUAGGUAUUCUGUGGAUAAAAUAGUUGUUAAACCAAACAGAAAUGCUUGACAAUUUAACAGGAGGUUCUUUAUAAGUUUUACUGAGUGUUCAAUAAGAAAAUAAAUUUUAAUAUCAAAUUAUAAUUAUUAUAAUCUUAUAAAAUAUUACGGCCUUUUAAACAUGUAUAACUGAACUCCGCUCAGAAUCAUUUAUCAUUAUAUACAAAUAUACGUUAAGUUCCCCUCUAUAUCCUACUUUCAAAGUUUUUUUUUUUUGUUUAUUGAAAUAAUAUCCAUUCCCUAAUAAUAUUAUCUGCCGUAUAAUGUAUAUACAUAAAUAAGCGUAUGAUUAUGGAUGUUUAAAUUGGAGAGGUGGCGCAUUAUUAAAUGGUCACCUAAUUUCCCUUGCAAAUUGUUCCGAAUGCAGUUGCAGUUGCAGUUAGCGGUUGCUGCAAAUUGUGUUGUGGCACCGCUCUGAUAAACUUCACAUAUAAAUAACAAAUAUUUUAUAAUCGCAUGCUAUUAUGUGCAUAUCUGUUGACUGUAAUAUAUUAUUGUUUGUUUCAGAUUCUCGGUAUAAUUUCACUGCUGGUGAUUAUAAUCAUUUCCUCGACCACUGCGACGCACACGACACAGUAAGAAAUGUUUUUUUUUUUUUAUUAUUAUUCAUAAUUAUUAUCAAAUACGGGUAGUAUUAAUAAGCUAUACAAUCUUCUAGUGGAACUAUAUUUUGAAGUAACCAUUUCGCAUAAUAUGGUGUCUAGAACUAUUUGAUUUUACACAUGAUUUUAAAAAAAAAUUUGUUUUUACUUAAAUGAAAUGUGUAAUUAACUAUACAAUGGCCCCGAUUCAGUGGCGUGCGUCAGGUCGAUGCUAGGGGUUAUAUUUCACGGUCAUUGGAUUAAAAAUAUAACAACUAUAAGUUUUCUAAGUAGUUUUAACUUCAAAUUUUAUAUUUUGAACAAGUUACAAGGAAAACUCUUGUUUUAUUGAACACAAAUUUUCUUUUCAGGAAUCGAUUUUUAAAUUCUCAUUGUUGGGUUAGGUAUGACACAAGAAUAUUCUACGAUGUAUUUAUAUAUCAUGAUUAUUAUUUACUCCAUUUUCUCCAAUUGCAAGUUCCUAUGUACGUCGUUGCUGCUAUAUAUAUAUAUACAAUUCUAAUUUGGUCAUUUAAAUGUAGAAAAGAUUUUUAAAUUGUAUACAAUUUGAUAAAAUCUACUUCAAUCCACUUAACACACUUAUUCUUAAUCUCAAUAUUACUGAGACAUAAAAUUUGCACAUCACAUAAUCUCAAUAUUAAUAAAUCGAUCUGUAAGUCAAAAAAAUACAUAAAUUAUAAAUAUAUUUUAAUGUUUGUAUACAGCGCAAGUAUGGAAAUAUAACAAGUACAAUAAUUACUUUUGUUGUAUUCGUAUAUAUUUUGAAGUUUUUUUUUUAUUUUAUUAUGAUUUUGCACAUUAUUUUUUCUCGAAUAACUCUAACAAAAAAUAUUAUACAAUUUUACUAUAAUUAAAAAAAGAAUAUAAAUUCAAAAUAGAGGUUUUAUAAAUUCAGAAGAGUUUUGGUGGUUAAAAAUUAAAUAACAAUUUUUUUUUUUUUUUUUGAUAAUAUUCGUUUACUAUUCAAUUAUAAUAAUAAUUCAAUGUAAAAUGUGAAUCUAUUUUGCCAGUUUAUCAACAGUAGUAACUUAUAAUGGCAGAUAUCAAUUUAUUUUAUUUUAAGAUACAAUUUUGAAAUGUUCCAUAUUAGUACCAUAUUUAAUAGUACCUCUGAUUACAAUAAACUGUAUCUUGGAAAUCGGAAUAAAAUUUAAUUGAUUUUGUUUGAAAAAAGAAAAUCUGACAAUCUUCUUCUUUUUAGUUAUUCGGCCGCUAGAACCACCUCAUCAUAGGCUUGUACAGGAUUGUUUCGUAGGGUGUGCCAUGAAAAAAACCAGUUGUUAUUCUUUUAGUGGCCCUUACAUCUUUCCUUUAAACAAAUAAAAUAGUAAAUACAAAAUGUCAGUUCAUUAAACUUUAUAUUGUUCACAUACAUAUUAUACUACCUAUGUAUCGAAGAAUAUUCCACGAAAACAUUAUUACAUAUCAAACAUAUAGAUUAUCGUGAAAAAAUGACCCCCAUAAAUUUAAUAAUAAACAAUUAUAUGGUUAAAAAUUUUAAAAAAAAACUUAAUAUCACCACAAUUAUUACAAUAAGCUCUGAAUCAAAGGCAGUGAUAAGUAAUAUCAGUUAGUGGAUGCCUGUUGAUUUAAUUUAUUGAUUACUCGAUAACAAUUUUUCAUAUCAAAUGGAUUAGAGUUUAAUUAAAUAAAGCCCAGAAUGAAUCAAUUUCAUUUUCAACUCAAAAGCCACGGGCGUGGCACAGCCACGGCACUCCUGACAUACCUGUGUGCACGGCUAUGUAACUUUGUCUCCAAUUUUCCAAAUUCGUAACCUGUGCCUUCCAAUCUAAACCUCCUCCUAAUGCUUCCAAAUCUUUUUUUCACUACAUUCUCCUAUCGCAUACGUGGUCUUCUAAGUGAUUUUUUUCCAGUAAGAUUUUCUUCAAGCACCAUGCGUAUGUGUAAGUUUUUAUUUCACCACACUUGCCCACUACAUGUGGUCUUUUACUCCUUAUUGUAACAAUUAAAUGAUCAUACAUAAUUAUUUCUAUCUGUUCGUUGUAGUUUCUGCUGAUACUUGUAAAAUAAUGCAAUUAUUACAUUUUUGUUUACAGUGAAAAACAUAUCAUUCACGUUCCACUAUUGGUGCAUUACGUCCAUCAUCACCACAAGCCGAUUAUAAAACCGAAGAGACCUAAAGUGAAAAAAGUUCUGCAUACCAAAAAGUAUAUACAUCGCUAUCAUACUUACUACUAUUGAACACAUUCAUUCAGUCACAUAAAAAACAUAAUAAUAUUGUAUAUUCAAUCCGAUUUAUAUUUUGUACAUAAUAUCAUAAAGUGUUAAUUGUAUUAGUUUUGUAAAACGUAAAAAUAUAUUGACCGUUAU
rnacentral:lncRNA from 1 species